CCUGGUGAAGCAGCCCACUUCAGGCAUUGCACUAUGGUUCAACCUCUCAAUAGACAUUGCUUACCAAAACUGGAUUAGAAAAAAAAAAAAUAUAUAUAUAUAUAUAUAUAUAUAUAUAUAUAUAUAUAUAUUCUGCUUUUCAGUAAUGUAGAGGCCCUGUUUGUAGCGAAAGAUUUCCCAUUUGUGAGUUUUGUACACUAGGUCCAGUAAAAUCUGAAAAUAAAACAAAAUAGCAAUAUUCGUUCUAGGCCUGGGAAGCUAAUCCUUUUUGGGGAUUUACUUUUUUUCUUGUAGAAUACAGUAGAGGAAAAAAAGUCAAUCAGAGAAGUUCAGCCACAGUCAUUUUCUUGUAUCUGGAGUAUUUCCCUGGGAGUAGGGCUGAGGGGAAAGCCCAUGUUCUUGAGGUCAACUGGGCAUCCAUUCUUCUUUGGCUCUAACAUUUGAGGUGGACUUUGGCUGAAAGUAUUUAGGAGUACUUGGCAGUAACCAGCUGGUAUAACUUCUAGGAUAAAAGCUAUUGGGGACUGGGGCAUCAAGGAAGAGAAUGAAUAAGAAAGAGAGUUUGGAAAACUUUAAUAGUUACUGUCUAUUGGUAACUGAGGUAUUCAUCCUGAAUGUUGUCUUCUUUGUGUUUUAAUAGUUAAAUGACUGCAUUUUAUGUUAGAGAUCAGAAAAAGAGAAAUUUUCUCAGAGCCCAGAUUUAAAUCCAGGUCAAAGACCAUACAUUCCCAUUUAGAACCCAUUCCUGUUUUAAACCUUCAUAGAUGUCACUCCCUAAAUGCCUAUUGAAUACAUUUUAUAAUUAUAAGGACCUCCUUUCAGCUUACUGUGAGAAAGGAUUUUCUAGGAUUUAAGUAGUUGAUAAAUGCAAAGCUUCAUCAAGAAAUAAACACUGUCCCUGAGA
rnacentral:lncRNA from 1 species